GACGAACCGUGCGAACGUUGUUCGGAUUCACUGGGCUUAAAGGGCGCGUAGGCGGGCUUGUAAGUCAGGGGUGAAAUCCUCCGGCUCAACCGGAGAACAGCCUUUGAUACUGCAAGUCUUGAGGGAGAUAGGGGUCUGCGGAACUUCCGGUGGAGCGGUGAAAUGCGUAGAUAUCGGAAGGAACGCCGGUGGCGAAAGCGGCGGACUGGAUCUCAUCUGACGCUGAGGCGCGAAAGCUAGGGGAGCGAACGGG
rnacentral:rRNA from 1 species